AAUGCUAUUCGCCUUUCGUGUGAUUAAAAACAUGGCUUCGAAGAAAGUUGUUUUCGUCAUAAGCGGCUCACGUGUUAUAGUUAUUCCAAGAAAAUUGAUAUUUACUAUGCGACAAGAUGUUAGAUAAAUAUAUUGUAAUGUUGAACAGUUAAAGGCCGAAGAGUCAUGGAUAUUUGCAUCCUGCUUUGAUUUCUGUGGUAUUUUGUCUUGAUGGGAAAACUUUGGAACCAAAAGCCAGGGCUGACAAAUUCCUCUUCAAAGCUCCAUCAAUAUAGCCAGUUGAUGCUUUGAACACCUAGAAAUUGGAUAUGAAUGAGAUCUGGACUAAAACCUUCAUAAGAACUUGUAUGACUUUUGCAGGUAUGUCGGUUCCCUUUCCUUCAAAUUCCAAACUUACAAACUUAAAUUCCAUGGAUCCUUGUGCUUUUAUUCUGAAGUGCAGACCUUUAAUUCUGAAGUGUCAACCUUAUACUUUCUAAGGAAAUUUUUUUUUUUCAAAUUACCAUUAUAUUUCAAAAUGUAUUUUUUCCUUGAGAAUUAAAUUCUAUUCAUGACUUACUAUACGUUACUUUUGAUGAAAAGUUUCUCACUGUUGUUAGCUUUGUAAAAAUAAUUCUCUAAAAACCUUCUAUAUUUUUGUUUCCUUCCGCAUGAAUUUCUCUUUCUAACUUACUGCUGGUAGCUCUUUUGAAAAGCUUCUCUAAAAACCACUUUUAUUUUUAUUUCCUUGCGUAUUAACUUUCGUUUAUCACUUACUAUAACUUACUCUACUUUUGAGUUUCUCAAAAGCCAACAUGUCAAUUUUUAUUGCCAAGUUGCUGUAGAGAGCUUUGCGUUAGUGUUUCCCUAAAAGCCUUUGUUGUUUUUGUUUUAUUGCCUGUCAAAUUUAUUGCUACGUUGCUGUAGGGAGCUUUCCGUUAGAGUUUCUCUAAAAUCCUUCGUUCUCUUUAUUUUACUGCCUGACAAUUUUUCAAGCUACGUUCCUGUACGGAGCUUUGCUUUAGAGUUUCUCUAAAAUCCUUCGUUCUCUUUUUUUGACUGUAUGUCAAUUUUUAUUACUAUGUUCCUGUAGGGAGCUUUGCUUUAAAGUUUCCCUAAGAUCCUUCGUUGUUUUUAUUUUAAGCCUGUAAAUUAUUAUUGCUACGUUGCUGUAGGAAACUUUCUUUUCGAGGUUCUCUAAAGUCCUUCGUUGUUUUUUAUUGCCUGUCAAUUUUAUUGCUACGUUGCUAUAGGGAGAUUUUCGUUAGAGUUUCUCUAAAAUCCUUCGUUCUCUUUAUUUUACUGCCUGUUCAUUCUUAUUGCUACGUUCCUGUAGGGAGCUUUGCUUUAGAGUUUCUCUAAAAUCCUUCUUUCUCGUUAUUUUACUGCCUGUCAAUUUUUAUUGCUAUGUUCCUAUAAGGAGUUUUGCUUUGAAAUUUCUCUAAAAUCCUUCGUUCUCUUUAUUUCAUUGCCUGUCAAUUUUUAUUGUUACGUUCCUGUGGGGAGCUUUGCUAAUGAGUUUCUCUAAAAUUACUUCUUUCUCUUUAUUUUACUGCCUGUUAAUUUUUAUUGCUAUGUUCCUAUAAGGAGCUUUCCUUUAGAGUUUCUCUAAAAUCCUUCG